rnacentral:rRNA from 1 species
UACAGAGGUCCCAAGCGUUGUUCGGAUUCACUGGGCGUAAAGGGUGCGUAGGCGGUCAGGUAAGUCUGAUGUGAAAUCUCUGGGCUUAACCCAGAAAUGGCAUUGGAUACUAUUUGGCUUGAGAGUUGGAGGGGGGACUGGAAUUCUUGGUGUAGCAGUGAAAUGCGUAGAUAUCAGGAGGAACACCAAUAGCGAAGGCAGCUCGCUGGGACGUUACUGACACUGAGGCGCGAAAGCGUGGGGAGCGAACAGG